rnacentral:rRNA from 1 species
AGGCAUGUGCACGCUCUGCUCAUCCACUCUACCCCUGUGCACUUACUGUAGGUUGGCGUGGGCUCCUUAACGGGAGCAUUCUGCCGGCCUAUGUAUACUACAAACACUUUAAAGUAUCAGAAUGUAAACGCGUCUAACGCAUCUAUAAUACAACUUUUAGCAACGGAUCUCUUGGCUCUCGCAUCGAUGAAGAACGCAGCGAAAUGCGAUAAGUAAUGUGAAUUGCAGAAUUCAGUGAAUCAUCGAAUCUUUGAACGCACCUUGCGCUCCUUGGUAUUCCGAGGAGCAUGCCUGUUUGAGUGUCAUGGAAUUCUCAACUUAUAAAUCCUUGUGAUCUAUAAGCUUGGACUUGGAGGCUUGCUGGCCCUCGUGGUCGGCUCCUCUUGAAUGCAUUAGCUCGAUUCCGUACGGAUCGGCUCUCAGUGUGAUAAUUGUCUACGCUGUGACCGUGAAGUGUUUUGGCGAGCUUCUAACCGUCCAUUAGGACAACUUUUUAACAUCUGACCUCAAAUCAGGUAG